GUGGAGUGCCUCAGGGUGCGAUUCUCUGCCUGAUGCUCUUUAACAUCUUUAUGCGCCCCCUCGCCCAGCUUGUCCGGAGUUUUGGGCUGGGUUGCUAUCAGUAUUCCGAUGACACCCAACUCUAUCUGUUGAUGGAUGGCCAUCCUGACUCGGCCCCAGACACACUGACCAGAUGUUUGGAAGCUGUGGCCAGAUGGUUACGUGGAAGCCGGUUGAAGUUAAAUCCUUCGAAGACAGAGGUCCUCUGGCUGGGACGGGACGAUAUGGGAUUGGGGGGGCAACUCCCAUCUCUUGCGGGGGUGCAAUUAGUGCCAGCACCGUCCGUUAAGAGUUUGGGUGUAAUCUUCGAUACCUCCCUCUCUAUGGAGGCGCAGAUUACAACUAUAACAAAGGUGGCAUUUUUUCAUCUCCGCCAAGCUAAGCAGUUGGCCCCUUAUCUCUCUCGCCCUGACCUAGCCACUGUGAUCCACGCGACGGUCACCUCCAGACUGGAUUAUUGUAUCUCGCUCUACGUGGGGCUGCCCUUGAGACUGACCCAGAAACUCUAGCGGGUGCAGAAUGCCGCGGCGAGACUCCUUAUGGGGUCUUCGCUGCAAGAUCACAUUCAUCCGGUACUAUACCAGCUGCACUGGCUCCCGGUGAAGUACAGGAUCAGGUUUAAGGUGCUGGUUUUAACCUUUAAAGCCCUAUACGGCCUAGGACCCUCGUACCUACGGGACCGCCUCUCCUGGUAUGCCCCACAGAGGAACCUACGGUCAGCAAAUAAAAACAUCCUGAAGGUCCCAGGCCUCAGAGAGGUUAGGCUGGCCUCAACUAGAGCCAGGGCUUUCUCGGCUGCGGCUCCAAUCUGGUGGAACGCUCUGUCACAAGAG